UGGACAUGAACCACAAAAAAAAAUUCCCACUAGGUUUUCUUUCUGCUACCUUGUUAGUAUUCAGCCUUUUGGGAACAUGU